rnacentral:rRNA from 1 species
AUGAAAGGAAUCUUUUGGAAUAGCAGAGGUCUGAAGGACUUGGCUAAAAGAAGGUUCCUUGCUGAGGCAUCGUUGGAGCAUCGGUUAGACUUUGUUGCUCUUUCGGAAACUGGUCGUGAAAACAUUGCGCCUCAGUUUCUUGCCUCUCUGGUCGGAGGUGUUGAGUUCGACUGGCAUUGCCUUCCUCCGAGAGGAAGAUCGGGUGGGAUCUUACUUGGUGUGAGAUGCGAUUCGUUGGAAGUCCGAAGUGUAGUGAUGGGUGACUUCGCGGUUAAGUUUCGAUUCAGGUCUAAAGCCGAUGGUUUUAACUGGGGUUUGGUGGCGGUAUACGGUGCUGCACAGCCCGAGCUUAAACCGGAGUUUUUGGCGGACCUCGUUCGAAUAUGUGGGUCUGAGCAGCUUCCAAUUUUAGUUGGAGGUGACUUCAAUAUCAUUAGAAGGAGAGAGGAGAAGAAUAAUGAUAACUUUGACGGCAGGUGA